GGUUAACGCUGGCGGCGUGCCUUACACAUGCAAGUCGAACGGGGCUAUCAGCGAUGGUAGCUUAGUGGCGAACGGGUGAGGAAGACGCAGGGACCUACCGACCAGAGGGGGAUACCCGCUGGAAACGGCGGAUAAAACCGCAUACGCCCGGGUGAAAGCCCGGGGAAAAGCACUACGGUGUUACUGGACGAGGGACCUGCGGCCCAUCAGGUAGUUGGGGAGGUAACGGCUCACCAAGCCGACGACGGGUAUCUGGCGUGAGAGCGCGAACAGGCACAAGGACACUGAGAGACGGGUCCUACUCCUACGGGAGGCAGCAGUGGGGAAUAUUGGUCAAUGGUCGGAAGACUGAACCAGCCAUGCCGCGUGCAGGAAGAAGCAUCUAUGGUGUGUAAACUGCUUUUGUACGGGAAGAAACACUCCUACGUGUAGGAGCUUGACGGUACCGUAAGAAUAAGGAUCGGCUAACUCCGUG
rnacentral:rRNA from 1 species